UGACACUCCAUCGAACCAGGCCUAUAGCUUAGUUCUGGUUCUUAAGUUUGGUAGGUAAUAAAUGUAAGUCAGGUGUGACAGAAACCCACAUGAGGGACAGUUUUAAGUAGAAUUAUAUCUAUUUAGACUUAACACAUAUUUUGUAGAACUCUGGCUAUUUCUGAAAGUACCGGUGAACAUUUGAUAGUUUAAUAAACAGAGCUUACCUGGGCUUAAAGGUUAUCCCCUUCCCCAGCCCUUGAAGUUGCUUUGAAUACUAUGACUAAAAAGACUUUCCAUUAAAAUUAUUAUAUAAUGCAAAAUCCAAUAUAGAUACACACUUGCAAAUAUCAUUGUAGUUAUUUAUUUAGAUUGUUUACAAAUGAGACAGUGCCUUUAAAUAUGACUUCAUAGACCAUUAUCCAUUAUCAUUCAUUCAUCCACUCAUUGGUUCAUUCAUGGAUUCAUUUAGUUCAAAUAAUAUAGAGCUGGAGAUGGGGAGAAAUCACUGGGGUGGAGGUGGAUGUCAGGAAGUAAGCAAACGUAAGACUGCAGCUCUAGUACAGAAGAGAUGAUGAACGUAAACAAGUGUUGGGAGAGGACAGGAAGAAAACCUUCCCUACAGGCCUGUAAAAUGUGGUUGACAGAAGGGAGGUUGGGCACUAACAGUGGAAUGUAACACCAUAGCAGAUGUGCGCCUACAGGUACGGGGUUAACAUGUUCGCCUUUGUAGUUAAAAAAGAAAGGUAUAGUCCUUUUCCACGUACAAAGCGUUCUAACAUUCAUUACCAAAUGUAAUCCUCACAGCAACAAUGUGAAUUAGGAGUGUACCCAAUUAACAAUGAAAAUACUGAGGCCUUGGGGAGAAUGACUGGCUCAAUGUUGUACAACCAGUAAGGCGGCGAUAGAGGAAAAAAGACUAAAACCAGAUAUUUCUCUAAUUCUUUGUGCACAAUCCUGCUACCACAAAAUGUUAGAAUCGGAAGGGAGCUUAAAGACCAAGUCUAGUCUUUUCAUUUUAAAGGAGUUGGGAAUGGACCCUGAUUUGCCCCAGCUGGUACAUAACAGAGUGGAGAUCCGAGCCCUGGUUUCCUGACAGCUCCCAGUCUUUCCACUCUACCACCUGGCCUCAAAAUGGAAAGAAACACAAAUGUUCUACAUAUACAUCAGAGCUCGCCAAAAGGUCACCGGAAAUCAAACAGCAAACACCUAUUCUCUUUGAAAUUCACCAGCAAAGUUGGUGGCAGCAACAUUUCCUCUAUUCCCAGGAAUCUUAAGGCUUUGGAGAAAUGAGAAUAAGCACCUCCACAAAAACACAACUGCUGAACAAUCCAUUUAGAAUCUUGGCCAGUAUGUGCAUACUAUAGGCCUAUUAAGUCAAACUUAUUAAUAGCUUUUCUUCACAGAGAAAAAAAUUCAUAUAUAUCUACCGACUGCAUUUGAUCAGUAAGAUAUCAUGUUAGUGUGCUUCUUACCUGAAGUACAUUUAUGGCUGAGUCAUAUUGUGACAUAAAUAAUCACAUUUUGUAGCUUGCUUUAGACGGAAUGAGAUUUUUUUUUUUUUUUUUUGAGACGGAGUCUCACUCUGUCACCCAGGCUGGAGUGCAAUGGUGCAAUCUCGGCUCAUUGCAAGCUCCACCUCCAGGGUUCAAGUGAUUCUCCUGCCUCAGCCUCCCGAGUAGCUGGGAUUACAGGCACGUGCCACCACACCCGGCUAAUUCUUGUAUUUUUAAUAGAGAAGGGUUUUGCCAUGUUGGUCAGGCUGGUUUCAAACUCCUGACCUCAGGUGAUCGCCCGCUUCAGCCUCCCAAAGUGCUGGGAUUACAAGUGCGAGCCACCGUGCCCGGCCGGAAUGAGAUUUUUAAAAACACCAGGACUGAGAAUCCAUCCACCCAACCAAGAGCCAACAAAGUAGCAGUUACUGCUCUAAACAUUCAUUCAUCCAUGAGACUACUGAAGAAAUCCAAGAGGCUUGGUGAUACUGACCUCACUCUCAGUUCUAUCCACAAGUAGUAAAGUACUACUGCCAAAUACACUUAGCAAUUUCAGGAAGAGACACUUGUCUCCACAACCUGUUACUGAAUGCAGCAUAUAGAAUCCAUUCGAUUCUGAAGGACAACACACUCCAAAGGAUGUUUCAUUUUGGAAGGAGAGCUGUAGGGGACGGUAGAGGGGAUGCUUAGCAAUGCUUCCUGAGUGACUAAAUGAACGAAGCGGAUCUCCCUGGCCCUUAGUAAUAAUCCUAUGAGAUUCCAGGAAGAAAAUUAGCUUACUUAUCUUCAUAGAGCAACAACAAAAUGAUUCAAUAUGAAUAUUGUGGUUCUGAAGUUUGCUUCCUUCAUUCUUGACUUUUGCCCAGUUGCAGAAUUCCACCAGUGGACACCGAGGUAGUGGGGGGCCAAGAGAAUCUGUGAAGUCAGUUAUUCAUGCCUCAAGAUUUCAAACUGUACAAAUGGAACUCUGGCAAUGUAAGAACUCAGGAGGGGAAAAAUACCUUGCAAGAAUCUACUCUUAAAAAAGAAGAGUUUUUGAGAUUUGGGAAGAAUGACUGCAGGAAGUGGUGAUCAGCGCUGUGCAGUUGGGGGUAAGCUCCUCUCCUUCAGUCUUGGAGCGGGACGAAAAGGCCCCAAACACUCUGAGGCUGAGGCUUCUCAGCCCAGGAACCCAGGAUCAUACAACCGCCAGGCACAGUGGCCACAGAGCAGCCUCCACCUCAAGGGAACAAUUCCAGACAUGACCUCAUUGAAUACACCAUGGAAGAUGUUAUCUUCUUUAAAAGUACCCUCACGGCCGGGCGUGGUGGCUCACGCCUGUAAACCCAGCACUUUGGGAGGCCGAGGCGGGUGGAUCACGAGGUCAGGAGAUUGAGACCAUCCUGACUAACACAGUGAAACCCCGUCUCUACUAAAAAUACAAAAAAAUCAGCCAGGCAUGGUGCCAGGCGCCUGUGGUCCCAGCUACUCAGGAGGCUGAGGCAGGAGAAUGGCGUGAACCCAGGAGGCAGAGGUUGCAGUGAGCCGAGAUGGUGCCACUGCACUCCUGCCUGGGUGACAGAGCCAGACUCCAUCUCAAAAAAAAAAAAAAAAAAGUACCCUUACAAGGAAAAAGGCAGGCAACUGCCAUCCCCCAGCCACGCGUGCCCAGGAACUCUCAGGCAGGAACUUGGCUGUAUUAUCCUGCCUCAGAGACAAACUCAUCUAUUGUAGGCCUGGCCUGGAUUGCUGCCUCUGAAAACCAGGAAAGGUCGGUAGAAUAUCAACCAAGACAUGGAAUUUCCAGGGAGGUCUCAUUUCAAAAUGUCAUCAACAAGAACCACAUGGACCUCUAUGAGAGGGAUGAUUAAACUGGCCUGAGUUUGAAUGAAAGGAUAAUGUGUGCCCAACCUGUAACUAACACAAAGGAGGUAAAGUGGCACAGGGUCUUGUAUGAGCAACAGCCAUUUCCUGAUAACUGUGUGGACUGGCGGUUCCUGGAAGAGUUCCGGAAAAACAUCCAUGCUCGGAAAUACCAAUAUUGGGCUGUGGUAUUUGAGUCCAGUGUGUUGAUCCUGCAGCUGUGCAGUAUUUGUGUGUUUCUGGUUAUCUGGUGGUAUAUGGAUGAGGGUCUUCUGGCCCCCCACUGGCUUGUUGGGACUGUCCUGGCUUCUUCACUGAUCGGGUAUAUUUUGUUUGAGCUCACUGAUGGAAGUGAAGGGCAGAAGAGUGGGUGGAUCCGGUGGGCUGACCUGAAAAGUGCCCUAGUCUUCAUUACUUUCACUUAUGGCUUUUCACCAGUGCUAAGACCCUGCCAGAGUCUGUCAGCACUGACACCAUCUAGGCCAUGUUGCUCUUCACGCUGUUAGGCCACCUCAUCUCUUUUAACUAUGGUGCCAAUGAUGCCUUUGUAUCCAUUGUAUCCAGUAACUAUCCUUGAACACAGCCAUCUUGGCUUCUGGAGGCUUGGCUUCACGCCUUCCCCAGUCCCUCCAUGUCUCCAUCAUGGUAACACUUGCCAUCCAGAUUUUUGUCCUGUGGCUCAUGUUACAGGAGAAACUAAAGGCAUGGACUCCCAAGGGCUAUGUAGUGGUUACACUGCUUUUUGCCUUUUUGGCCUUGGAAGAGCUGUGGGAGCCAUACUCUUUGCCCUUCUAUUGACUUCUAUCUCAUGUCUCUGUUCAUUUUACCUCAUUCGCCUGCAGCUUUUUAAAGAAAACAUUCACGGGCCUUGGGAUGAAGCUGAAAUCAAGGAAGACUUGUCCAGGUUCCUCAGCUAAAUUAGGGACAUUCUGAUAGACUAGCCUCGUAACUAGUAUAAAACUUAAAGACAGGCCAAGUGCGGUGGCUCAUGCCUGUAAUCCCAACACUCUGGGAGGCCCGAGGCGGAUGG